ACGGAAGGCAGCAGUGGGGAAUAUUGGGCAAUGGGCGAAAGCCUGACCCAGCAACGCCGCGUGAGGGAAGAAGGUUUUCGGAUUGUAAACCUUUUUCUUAUGGGACGAUAAUGACGGUACCAUUUGAGUAAGCCACGACUAACUACGUGCCAGCAGUCGCGGUAAUACGUAGGUGGCGAGCGUUAUCCGGAUUUAUUGGGUGUAAAGGGUGCGUAGGCGGGAUGUAAAGUCAGAUGUGAAAUACCGCAGCUUAACUGCGGGUCUGCAUUUGAAACUUAUGUUCUUGAGUGCGGUAGAGGUAAGUGGAAUUCCCAGUGUAGCGGUGAAAUGCGUAGAUAUUAGGAGGAACACCAGUGGCGAAGGCGGCUAACUGGGCCGUAACUGACGCUGAGGCGCGAAAGCGUGGGGAGCAAACAGGAUUAGAUACCCUGGUA
rnacentral:rRNA from 1 species